CAGCCGCCGCGGUAAUACGUAGGUGGCAAGCGUUGUCCGGAAUUAUUGGGCGUAAAGCGCGCGCAGGUGGUUUAAUAAGUCUGGUGUGAAAGCCCCCGGCUCAACCGGGGAGGGUCAUUGGAAACUGGGAAACUUGAGUGCAGAAGAGGAGAGUGGAAUUCCGGUGUAGCGGUGAAAUGCGUAGAUAUCGGAAGGAACACCUGUGGCGAAAGCGGCUCACUGGACCAUUUCUGACGCUGAUGCACGAAUGCUAGGGGAGCAAACAGGAUUAGAUACCCCUGUAGUCCCUGUCUCUUAUACA
rnacentral:rRNA from 1 species